GCGAGGAUCGCCGAGCUUGGUCAAAGGCGCUGGAUUUAGGGUCCAGUCCCGCAGGGGUUCGCCGGUUCGAAUCCGGCUCCUCGCA
rnacentral:tRNA from 1 species